rnacentral:rRNA from 1 species
UACGGGGGGGGCAAGCGUUGUUCGGAAUUACUGGGCGUAAAGGGCUCGUAGGCGGCCAACUAAGUCCGACGUGAAAUCCCCAGGCUUAACCUGGGAACUGCGUCGGAUACUGGAUGGCUUGAAUUCGGGAGAGGGAUGCAGAAUUCCAGGUGUAGCGGUGAAAUGCGUAGAUAUCAGGAGGAACACCAAUGGCGAAGGCAGCUCGCUGGAACGGUACUGACGCUGAGGCGCGAAAGCGUGGGGAGCGAACAGG